rnacentral:rRNA from 1 species
UAGGGAAUCUUCGGCAAUGGGGGGAACCCUGACCGAGCAACGCCGCGUGAGUGAAGAAGGUUUUCGGAUCGUAAAGCUCUGUUGUUAAGGAAGAACGAGUGUGAGAAUGGAAAGUUCAUACUGUGACGGUACUUAACCAGAAAGGGACGGCUAACUACGUGCCAGCAGCCGCGGUAAUACGUAGGUCCCGAGCGUUGUCGGAUUUAUUGGGCGUAAAGCGAGCGCAGGCGGUUAGAUAAGUCUGAAGUUAAAGGCAGUGGCUCAACCAUUGUAGGCUUUGGAAACUGUUUAACUGGAGUGCAGAAGGGGAGAGUGGAAUUCCAUGUGUAGCGGUGAAAUGCGUAGAUAUAUGGAGGAACACCGGUGGCGAAAGCGGCUCUCUGGUCUGUAACUGACGCUGAGGCUCGAAAGCGUGGGGAGCGAACAGG